rnacentral:rRNA from 1 species
UGGGGAAUUUUGGACAAUGGGGGAAACCCUGAUCCAGCCAUCCGGCGUGUGCGAUGAAGGCCUUCGGGUUGUAAAGCACUUUUGGCAGGAAAGAAACGUCAUGGGUUAAUACCCCGUGAAACUGACGGUACCUGCAGAAUAAGCACCGGCUAACUACGUGCCAGCAGCCGCGGUAAUACGUAGGGUGCAAGCGUUAAUCGGAAUUACUGGGCGUAAAGCGUGCGCAGGCGGUUCGGAAAGAAAGAUGUGAAAUCCCAGAGCUCAACUUUGGAACUGCAUUUUUAACUACCGGGCUAGAGUGUGUCAGAGGGAGGUGGAAUUCCGCGUGUAGCAGUGAAAUGCGUAGAUAUGCGGAGGAACACCGAUGGCGAAGGCAGCCUCCUGGGAUAACACUGACGCUCAUGCACGAAAGCGUGGGGAGCAAACAGG